UACGUAGGGGGCAAGCGUUGUCCGGAUUUAUUGGGCGUAAAGCGCGUGUAGGCGGCCAGGUAGGUCCGCUGUGAAAACCCGAGGCUCAACCUCGGGACGUCGGCGGAAGCCAUUUGGCUAGAGUCCGGAAGAGGAGAGUGGAAUUCCCGGUGUAGCGGUGAAAUGCGCAGAUAUCGGGAAGAACACCCGUGGCGAAGGCGGCUCUCUGGGACGGUACUGACGCUGAGACGCGAAAGCGUGGGGAGCGAACAGG
rnacentral:rRNA from 1 species